rnacentral:rRNA from 1 species
AGCGAACGCUGGCGGCAGGCCUAACACAUGCAAGUCGAACGGAUCCUUCGGGAUUAGUGGCGGACGGGUGAGUAACACGUGGGAACGUGCCCUUUGGUUCGGAACAACUCAGGGAAACUUGAGCUAAUACCGGAUGUGCCCUUCGGGGGAAAGAUUUAUCGCCAUUGGAGCGGCCCGCGUCUGAUUAGCUAGUUGGUGGGGUAAAGGCCCACCAGGGCUACGAUCAGUAGCUGGUCUGAGAGGAUGAUCAGCCACAUUGGGACUGAGACACGGCCCAAACUCCUACGGGAGGCAGCAGUGGGGAAUCUUGCGCAAUGGGCGAAAGCCUGACGCAGCCAUGCCGCGUGAAUGAUGAAGGUCUUAGGAUUGUAAAAUUCUUUCACCGGGGACGAUAAUGACGGUACCCGGAGAAGAAGCCCCGGCUAACUUCGUGCCAGCAGCCGCCGUAAUAC